GCUUUUUCGCUGAGGAGACCGAAGGCCUUUCCGGUGUCUGCACCACCGUCUUCUUGUUGUGUUUGCCCAUUCCCAUAAGCGGUCCUGAUUUGGAUGUGAACUUCCCGAGAGGACCCGAGUAAAACUUGAAACGUUUGUUCUUUUCUGGGGCAAGAGGACCUGACUUAGGGGACUGGGUAGUGAGUGAGCCCGAGAGGAAAUCACCCAUCUUCGUGGACUUUGUAGCAGCUGAGCCUGACGCUGGACCUGUGAAUCUCCCAAGAGGACCAGAAGCAAAUCUAGGAGGACGGGUGGUCUCGGACUGAUGCGUCAAAACAGUGGAAACAGAGUGGCCGCGAGCGAUGAAAUCAGAAUCCGCAGAGCUAACAUCGCUAGCCUCUGCUCUGUAACUAAUGCCGAAAACAUGUUUAGUCCUAGUCAAGAUUGUGAAGAUCGAUCUCACCAAGAGAAGGACGGUGUAGUCAUAAGUACGGUUCCAAAGAGACACCUCCCUUAGAUUCUUCACUUCAUGUUUCUUCCACGUGACUUUUUUCUUGUACUCCACUAUAUUAUCGGUUGCAGAUUCAUUGCUCUGCCUUCUCUUGAGACUCUGCUCAAGCUCCGUCAGAAUCUCAGUGCUGCCUUUUCGCUACGGAGACAAUGAGACUCUCGAAUACGGCGUAGUUUCUUCCGUACGGCCAACGCUUUGCGUUUUAGACUUGUUUUUGUUUGUUUGAUUAAUAAUGGGCUUUCUUACCUAUUUUAAACAUAUUUUGUUGAUAAAAAGUAAUGGAAAAUUUGAGUGUAGUUUUGGAUAAUUAAAAUUUCAGCAAGAAAAAAAUUGGAUAAUGAACUGAAGAAUUCUUAUUUGAACUCAAUUUAUGUACUCUCUGUACAAAAAAAUAAUAAUAACAAUGUUUUAAUUAUAAAUUAGAUAUAUAUAUAUAUAUAUAUAUAUAUAAUUUUAAAAAUCGUAUUAUAAUAUCUCAAAAUGAAUUUCAAAACUGAAUUUGUAUUUGUAUGUGUGUGAUGAACCAUUUGUAUAUUUAUGAUCGUAUAAAGCAAACACCAUACGCAUUCGUAUUGUAUGCAAUAUACAAGAAUAUUAAUGGUGUAACCGUAUACGUAACUGAAUUUUGAGAUUUGCGACUUAUGAAUUGGUUUCCAUGAAGAACCCACACCAGUGACAUCACCAUACGAAUAAACUCUGACCGAGAGAACAACAAGCACGAGUUAUAAUAAUACAGACAUAACUUGAACAACUCGGAACUUAAAAUCCCCAAAUCAAGGAUUCUUCUGUAUCAUCACCACUGGAUUUUACAAUAAUCAAAAACAACCUUGGCACAUACGUAUAUGCAGCAGUAGUAUGUAUCAUCUCAACCACAAUAAAAUCUCGUAGAAACAAUAUACAAUGCAUCAUCACAUCCUACUACAAGUCAGAAUAGUAAAGGAGAUAAAGAGAAAAGAGACGCUCACAUCAUAAUACCUCUCGUGGUAAUCUAGCAACGUAACAGCUUUUCGUCCUCGGGUUUGGUCCAAGCUGCACGGUUUGGUUGAGUUCCAAUGCCAGUUUAGGUAAAAAAUAUAGUCUAGGAGAGCUUCAGUAGUUAUCCGUGUCUAAACAUUUCUCAAGUGUUUGACUACUAGUACACUCUUGAAGAGCCUUGGCGUUAAGCUCUCUGCCAUAUCUCCAGACAUAGUUGAGCCCGACAAGAAGCUCCGUGAUGAUGGUUUCUGUUUUCUGCUGGUUCGCAAAGAAGAGAGUCUGCGCGAGAACUAUGUGCGUCCUCGAAACCAAGCUCUGGUUCUCGUAACUCCUCUCGGACUGCCAUUUUAUCAUGUUGUGAGCUAACGGACCCAACCAUUCCAAGAUACCCGCCAUUGCGUCUGUCCACUCCUUCGCUAGCCCCGGAUCAUAAACCGCGGAAGAGCUCAAGUUUUUCGAGUACGGCUUUAGCCUCUCUCUCAACGAUUUUCUCACGCUCGCUGGUAACAUGUUGUAAAGGUCGUCUCUCGCAUCGUCGCCUAUCAAGUGGGGAGAUGCAACGAAUCUCUCUAUCACGAUGAUGACAUUAGCGUAGUGUAACGCUAAGCAAGCGGCGCCGAGGGUGUUAGGAGCAGCAUCUGACAACUUGGGUCUUUCAACGUGGACAGUGUUGGAACUUCCUUCGAGAAUCUGAUGAUGCUCUGCGCUACUAUGCCUAGCUCCGUUCUGGGUCCUAGUGCUGAGAGGAGUGAUACCGUCUUGAGACACCAUGCAGCCUUUAAAGGGACCAACCUGUGUUAAACGGUUGGGUUUCGACUGCUUUUUCGCUGAGGAGACCGAAGGCCUUUCCGGUGUCUGCACCACCGUCUUCUUGUUGUGUUUGCCCAUUCCCAUAAGCGGUCCUGAUUUGGAGGUGAACUUCCCGAGAGGACCCGAGUAAAACUUGAAACGUUUGUUCUUUUCUGGGGCAAGAGGACCUGACUUAGGGGACUGGGUAGUGAGUGAGCCCGAGAGGAAAUCACCCAUCUUCGUG
rnacentral:lncRNA from 1 species